UAGCCGAGAGCUGAAGAGAAUAAAAAAAAACGGGCAAUAAUCCUAUUUUUUAUUCUUUACUCUUCGUUAUUACAGUUUGAUGUUAGCUGUCCAUAGACUGAUUAUUCCUCUUUGGCAACCUUUGUUAUUCCUGGCACUGUUGUAUUUAGUAAACAAACAAAAACAUGUGUUCUAACCUCAACUGUGAUACAAUGGUCGUCUAGUUUUAAUCAGAGCGCAAUUAGUUAAUACAGUGUUGAAUCCUCAUGAAAUUCCGUUUUGCACUGAUAUUGUUGUUACAUUUGUAUUGCUGUUGUAAAGGAGGUACAAAACACUCAAAAAUGGUUUGCUAUCUGUG
rnacentral:misc_RNA from 1 species